ensembl:lncRNA
GUCGAAGCCUCGGGUAUCAGAGGACCGUCACUACUGGUAGCAUCUCUGGCUGCUGUUGACCUUGUUUUCGGAGUAAAACACGGUGGAAGCUGAAUUAGUGAGGAUGACUCCUGCUCCUGUCAUCUCUAAGCUCCUCACACAUCUUUACCUGCACAUGAGGAAAAUCACUCCUGUAGAAUGCAGAUGUUCAGAGGGAGAUGAUGCCACAUCUGGUCCAGCUGAUGGAAGGUCUUGAAGUUGUCUGACUGGCCUCAACUGAAGAUGGUCGUCUCACUGGAUUUAAGGUUCAGAUGCUCAGUAACAAACUCCACCAAUGAGCCAACAGGGAAGCUUUAGGUUUAUUAAAUGUUGCUAUGAAGGUUUCGCUGUUUUUCUUUGUGAAUGCAAUGUGCUCCAACUGAAACUUGAAUUAGAACUUAGAAGUAAAUCCUUCCAUCUGAAAGGAUCUAGUUGCAUUAAUAACCUCAUAGCAUUCAAAUUUUUAUUUCAGUCUUGGCUGGAAAUAGAAUCUCUGUAUUGAUUCAGGUAAAAACUGAACUUCACAGCAUGUUGAAGCAAAACAACCAGAUGAAAACUGUGAUGGUGUUGGAUUGUCAGACCGUAAUGUUGCAGCUCAAAGCAGCUUUUCAAGCUCAGUUCAUUCUGACAUUCAGCUAUGAAUCAACACAGCAAAUGGUGAUCCAUGCUGUGGAAGUCUCACAUCUCCUCAUUUAAUGGAGCUGCUUUGCACUUUUUACACUGUUUAUUCACCAACACUUUAUUUAAUAAAAGUCUCAUCUAGUUUUUAUGAGGAAUGUGAUGUUUUAAUUUCUCUGUGAAUAACUGCAGUCUAAUGCAACAGCUGGAGUUGUAACAUCUGUCCUGAUAUUGAUCAUGAAAUUUUUAUCAGAAUACUUAUGGUCAGCAGUCAUCCCUGAAGUUUUACAUUAAAAUCUUUACUUGUGUUGUGAACUUUGGUAAGAAGCAGAAACUUUUGCGUUGCCAUGGAUACAUGAGUGUUAAAUUCUGUCCAUGAUUCCAUUUUGGGAAAUGCAGUCCAGUUCCAGAAUGUGGAGGAAUUUAGUCUCACAAUCACAGACAACAAAUAUUAUCUGAAAGUCGGGUUAUUGUUGUUUACCAGCACAAUACAAAAAGAUUAAUGUUAGAAAUAUUCCAGUUAAGAAUAUCAUGAUUUAUGUAAAUUUACCUCAAUAAUAUGAAUGUUCAGGUUAAGAUUGUACAGUGAUAUUUAUUAUGCAAGUUUAGCUGAUUAAAGUUUAUGACUCUGCACUAAAAUAUUAUUUAAAUUGACAUCAUUAUUAUAAUAUUUAGGGUCAGACCCUACAGUAUUGAGAUUAAGAAAUCAAAUAUUCUGUAAAAUGUAAAUACACUGAACUCAUUUGGAUAUAUUUAAGUGAGACUCUACAAUAUUAUGUGACACAAAUCUAUCUAAAUCAAAAUUUUAAUAAUUUUCACACCAAACAUUUACUGGACUGAUUUAAACAUUAAAAUCACUCCUUUCUAAUCCUCUGCUGUACGUUCAAACCUGAGGCCUGAAAUAGAAACACACAAGUAUCUGAUUGAAGGAACUUCUGCAGAGUCCUGGUUCCAGAACAUGAUAGAAUUAUAGACAAACUUUAACAAAAGCUGCCUGAGAGUUUACAGGUUUUUAUGUUGGAUUUCUUCAGUAAUUUAAUGAGCGUUAUCAGCAAUAAUCAAGUGUUCAUUUGAAGAACUUAAUUUCCUAAAACAUACAGAAUUGAAGCUCAUAUCUUUGGCAGCUGUAAAGUUUCUGCUCCUUCAAAGAUCACAACACAAUGAAUGAAUUCCUAAAACACUCUCAAUGCUGGAGAGCGUUUGUGAUGCUGAAGCAGUGACCAGUUUUUCUGUUUCUUCUCUGGAGAUGCACAAUGAGGGACGUCUGCAGAGACUGAGAAAGAGUCUCACCACAUCCUGACAUGAGGAAAAAGACUUUAUUGAAGACUACAAUGAGAAAAACUAUCAGACAGCAGACGGCUGCAUUCAAGGUGAGCUCUGAACAUUUGAUCUGGAACAGGAAUUCAAUAACGGCAGCAUGAGCUUCAUUUCAGUCUGUAGCUGCUGAAUUCAUGAAUGAAUCAUCUGGCACUAGAGAAGAAGAUCAUCAAACAUCCAUGUCAGCUGAUGGACGUCCAAGAGUCUCACCCAACAAACAACCUACAGAGUGAAGACCUCAAAUCUGAUUGGACGGCCUCCUAUUCAGCCACAUGUGUGAACAAAUGCCUCUAAGUUGAUUUGUUUUCUAAAAUAAAUCUAGUUUGAGUCCUAAUCUAUACCUGAGUGUUUGCUUCUUUA